GGCUGAGUAGCUCAGUGGAUUGAGAGCCAAGCCUAGAGGUGAGAGGUCCUAGGUUCGAAUCCAGCCUCAGCCA
rnacentral:tRNA from 1 species